rnacentral:rRNA from 1 species
AUUGAACGCUGGCGGCAUGCCUUACACAUGCAAGUCGAACGGUAACGGGUCCUUCGGGAUGCCGACGAGUGGCGAACGGGUGAGUGAUAUAUCGGAACGUGCCCAGUAGUGGGGGAUAACUGCUCGAAAGAGCAGCUAAUACCGCAUACGACCUGCGGGUGAAAGGGGGGGAUCGCAAGACCUCUCGCUCUUGGAGCGGCCGUGAUCAGAUUAGCUGGUUGGGGGGGGAAAGGCCUACCAAGGGAACGAUCUGUAGUUGGUCUGAGAGGAAGACCAGCCACACUUGGACUGAGACCCGGCCCAGACUCCGACGGGAGGCAGCAGUGGGGAAUUUUGGACAAUGGGCGCAAGCCUGAUCCAGCAAUGCCGCGUGCAGGAAGAAGGCCUUCGGGUUGUAAACUGCUUUUGUCAGGGAAGAAAUCUUCAGGGCUAAUACCCCGGGAGGAUGACGGUACCUGAAGAAUAAGCACCGGCUAACUACGUGCCAGCCGCCGCAGUAAAAC